CCCACACCCAAUCCAAGAACCUCUGCUGCCUGUAGCAGCUAUUUAAACAGUGGUAUGCAUAACACAGGGGCUUUGCUAUCUUUGGAGGCGGUUGUGUGGUGUCCCCAGAAUGGACUGGAGGUUCUAUAGUC